rnacentral:rRNA from 1 species
GUGUCAGCCGCCGCGGUAAUACGGAGGGUGCGAGCGUUGUCCGGAAUCACUGGGCGUAAAGGGCGCGUAGGUGGCCCGUUAAGUGGCUGGUGAAAUCCCGGGGCUCAACUCCGGGGCUGCCGGUCAGACUGGCGAGCUAGAGCACGGUAGGGGCAGAUGGAAUUCCCGGUGUAGCGGUGGAAUGCGUAGAUAUCGGGAAGAAUACCAGUGGCGAAGGCGUUCUGCUGGGCCGUUGCUGACACUGAGGCGCGACAGCGUGGGGAGCAAACAGGAUUAGAUACCCGAGUAGUCC